AUACGUAGGGGGCGAGCGUUGUCCGGAAUGACUGGGCGUAAAGGGCGUGUAGGCGGCGGAUUAGGUCUGGAGUGAAAGUCCUGCUUUCAAGGUGGGAAUUGCUUUGGAUACUGCCGCGCUUGAGUGCAGGAGAGGUUAUCGGAAUUCCCGGUGUAGCGGUGAAAUGCGUAGAGAUCGGGAGGAACACCAGUGGCGAAGGCGGGUAACUGGACUGCAACUGACGCUGAGGCGCGAAAGUGUGGGGAGCAAACAGGAUUAGAUACCCUGGUAGUCCACACUGUAAACGAUGAAUGCUAGGUGUAAGAGGUAUCGACCCCUUUUGUGCCGGAGUCAACACAAUAAGCAUUCCGCCUGGGGAGUACGGCCGCAAGGUUGAAACUCAAAGGAAUUGACGGGG
rnacentral:rRNA from 1 species